AAACGGAGGGGGCAAGUGUUAUUCAUCAUAACUGGGCGUAAAGAGUGUGGCAGGCGGUCAUUUAAGUGGAGAUGCAAAGACCCGAGCCAAACUUGGGAAAGCAUUACUAGACUGGAUGACUUGAGUCUAGAAGGGGAUGGCGGUAUACUCUAUGGAGCGGUGAAAUGUGAAGAUAUAGGGUAGACGACCGGUGGCGAAGGCGGCCAUCUGGGAUAGAACUGACGCUGAAGCACGAAGGCAUGGGGAGCAAACAGG
rnacentral:rRNA from 1 species